rnacentral:rRNA from 1 species
UACGAAGGGGGCUAGCGUUGCUCGGAAUCGCUGGGCGUAAAGGGUGCGUAGGCGGGUCUUUAAGUCAGGGGUGAAAUCCUGGAGCUCAACUCCAGAACUGCCUUUGAUACUGAAGAUCUUGAGUUCGGGAGAGGUGAGCGGAACUGCGAGUGUAGAGGUGAAAUUCGUAGAUAUUCGCAAGAACACCAGUGGCGAAGGCGGCUCACUGGCCCGAUACUGACGCUGAGGCACGAAAGCGUGGGGAGCAAACAGG